UGCAUUUCGACCAGGCA
rnacentral:misc_RNA from 1 species